rnacentral:lncRNA from 1 species
AAAUGAUUAUAUCACUACAAUAUGAUAGUUAUUAAGGUGAGGUUGAAUUCCCUCUCAAUUAUACAUCAUCAACAUACUAAUUUGUCUCAGUUUGUAUGAAUUAGUUGAUGUUGGGUUUAAUAAUAGAAAGAGAUAAAAAAAAAAAAAAAAAAGGAGGGAAAAAAAAAGAAAAGCUGUACAUGUUGAAUUGCUAUCUCAAACAAAGCUGCAG